GGUUUCGGUUCAUAAACAUGCCACCUGCUAAUUUUAUUAUCUGUAUGUCUAAACAAAACGCCGCUGUCUACUGUCAAAGUCAGUCAGUGUUCUGUCAAAAAAUCUAACCAAACGUAAACGUCAUACAAAAAUAGCAUCAAGAUGAAAGUUAUUUUUAAUAAUCUUUUUUAAAAUAAUAAUAUUUCCUACUAUAUUCAGCAAUAAAAUGAAUUUACAAAACAAAAUUAAAGUAUUACUUUUUGAAUUAUUUUGCACAGUGUAACCAGUGGCUAUAUUUAGAACGAAGUUUACAUAAAUUAUGAUUUUAUUAAAGCAAACACUAACAUUCUCUAUAAAAGGAAACGACACAAUUUUCAGGACUGUACAAGUGUGGGUUGGUGGAGCUGAGGAUGGUACACCUCGAGAUGCCCGAUGUCCAGCUGUGCACCAAUACUCUUUCUAUAAAUGACCUGCCAAACGAGAUACUAAUUUAUAUAUUCUCAAUGAUAGACUUUGAGUCUGUUUUAGCAGUAGCAAAAGUCUGUAUGCGAUGGCAACAACUGUGCCUGACUCCCUGCGUCUGGGACAAUACUCGCCUCAUAGUCUGCAUGAAAAACUAUGUGAGAAUAAGUGAAAGCAUUGUUCCAUUUGUUGCAAAGUAUGUAAAGAAUGUCAAGUUGCAAUAUUUCAAACUUUAUCCCCAGGUGAGGGCUUCACUAAUAAGUUAUUGCCCUAAUUUGACUCACUUAGAAAUAAGUAUUUCUCAAGUUGAUAGUUGUAUUUUUGAUGAUUUGGGUCACUGGCCUAAUUUAAAAUUCUUAAGUUUUCGCAACUCUCUAAUAAUACAAAACCCAGAAAAUGCUAAUGGGAAUUUUGUUUACCACUUACCAUUUGAAAAAUUAAAGUGCCUUGAAACUUUAAUCUUAUCUAAUUUUGCAUUGACACAGAACAGUUUAUACAGCAUGCUGCAGUGUCCCAACUUAGUCAGUAUUAACAUUGAAAAAAUGAAGAAUAUACCUGCAGAUUUUCUGGAAUCUUUACUCACUACUAAACAGAGCACAUUGAGAUCAUUACACAUUUACGGGGAUACAUUGAAUGAUGAUAUCAUCCGUUACAUAUCAAGCUGCAGGGUACUGCAGGUUCUGCACAUCAUGACAUGCAAAACAUUGUUUGAUUCUAGUUUGCUUCACUUGUACCGACUAAAGAAUUUACAUUCAUUAAAGUUGCGUCAUUCAUUUUUUUCCACAAGUGCUUUACUUGCAUAUUUUUCUAACAACACAUUCUUGAAUCUGACCUACCUGAGUCUGUCAAGAUGUCACCAUGUCACUAUGCAAGUAGCUAAGGCAAUCAAAACUAGUGCACCCAAUUUAAAAGAGCUCUCAUUCUAUCUUUGUCCAUUUAUAAUUGCCCCCAAUUUUAACCGGUCAGAGCUAGAAAAAAUGUUUGAUAUACAGUUAUUGCUUGAUUGAAUGCAAAUUGAAUCAUAAUAGAGUGUUUAGUGACUAAAGCAGUUUAGAUCUCCGUCCACCUUUAUACAAUAUAAUAUAAAUAGCAUUAUCUAAUAUUAAUUAAACAUUUUUCAUUUUAAUAUGAAAAAGAAAAACUGUUUGAAAAAUUGGUAUUUUUCAUAAAAAAUCAUAUAGUGCAAUUUUUAUUAUAAUAGGUAUAAAUUAAUGUUGGAUUUUAUUAAUGAAAACUUAGAUAUAAUAAAUGAUGAUUUUAUGUCUUAUAAUUUUUAGUUGUAGGUUGUGUUGUGCUGGAUGUGUCAACUAAUUUUAAUUUGAUUGAUUAUGCAAACAAUCAGUAUUUCUAAAACAGGUCAAAUGCAAGUCGUACUUGCUCUUCGUCUAACUUAAAGAUUUAAGUUUCAUGAUAUAAUAUCAUGAUGACACUCUUGUGCACUUAUGAAAUUAAAGUUGUUGAUUUCUACAUUAGUUUAUCCAUAGAAUUCUAGAUAGGUGUUCCAUAUAAUUUGAGGGACUGUGUACCUUCUUGUGACAAUAUUUCUUUGGUAUUAUUAUUAAUUUAUUAUGCUUAACUCUUAAAAGUAUUACAAUUGUAUGUUUAAUGGUAGAUUAUCUUUUGUCUUGUAUUUAUUUUAUUGGUGUUUUAUAAAAAGAAAAGUAUAUUGAUAUCAGUGGAUUACCACCUCUGAUAAUGUUGUCUACAAUCUACAAUAUUGUCAAUAAUUGAAAUUAAUGUGCCUUAUCAAUAGUUACAAUAUAAUGUCUUGUUGAUUUAUGAAAACAAUAUUUUUGUAAUAAAAAAAAAAUGUAAAUCUGCCAUUACACUACUUAUUUAAUUUUGUUGAAAAAUAAAAAUAUGUAAGUACCAAUGAUUUUUAUAUAAUAUCAUUGGUAAGUACCGUAUUUUUUAACUACCUAUGUAUCAAAUUGUAUUUACUGUCCUACUUCCAGAAAACAUUUAAAUAGAUUUAGAACUAAAGUUAAAUAGAUUGUGUGAAUAAAGAUUUAACUACUCUUAUUAUAUUGUUUUGCCUACUUAAUUGCAGAUGUUAUUGUGAUUCAAAUGUUGACAUAUUAUAAUUUGUUUGUAUCUUUUUGCUAUCACAUACAUACACUUAAAAUAUAUUUUUUACAAA